rnacentral:rRNA from 1 species
UACGUAGGAGACGAGCGUUGUCCGGAGUUACUGGGCGUAAAGGGUGCGCAGGUGGCGGCGCGCGUGGGGGGUGAAAUCGCCCGGCUUAACUGGGCGGGGGCCUUCCAGACGGCGUGGCUUGAGCAGCGGAGGGGGACGUGGAAUUCCGGGUGGAGCGGUGAAAUGCGUAGAGAUCCGGAGGAACACCGACGGCGCAGGCAGCGUCCUGGCUGCUUGCUGACACUGAGGCACGAAAGCUGGGGGAGCAAACAGG